GUGUCAGCAGCCGCGGUAAUACGGAGGGUGCGAGCGUUAAUCGGAAUUAUUGGGUUUAAAGGGUCCGUAGGCGGAUGCGUAAGUCAGUGGUGAAAUCUCACAGCUCAACUGUGAAACUGCCAUUGAUACUGCGUGUCUUGAGUGAGGUUGAAGUAGCUGGAAUAAGUAGUGUAGCGGUGAAAUGCAUAGAUAUUACUUAGAACACCAAUUGCGAAGGCAGGUUACUAAGUCUCAACUGACGCUGAUGGACGAAAGCGUGGGGAGCGAACAGGAUUAGAUACCCCCGUAGUCC
rnacentral:rRNA from 1 species